CGGUAAUUCCAGCUCCAAUAGCGUAUACUAAAGUUGUUGCAGUUAAAAAGCUCGUAGUUGGAUUUCUGCGGGGACGGAGCGGCCGGUCGCAACUUGCGACUCGAGCUAGCGCUUUCCCCGCAUCCUGCCGCGAACCGUGCUACCAUUAGUUUGGUGGCGCUGGGGAUCGGCUCGAUUACUUUGAGAAAAAUAGAGUGUUCAAAGCAGGCCACACGCCUUGAAUAAGUUAGCAUGGAAUAAUGACUAAGGACUUUGGUUCUUUUCGUUGGUGUUCGGGACUGAAGUAAUGAUUGAUAGGGACAGUUGGGGCGGUCCGUAUUCCAAAGCGAGAGGUGAAAUUCUUAGACCUUCGGAAGACGAACAGCUGCGAAAGCGUUCCGCAAGGAUGUUCCCUUUGAUCAAGAACGAAAGUUGGGGGAUCGAAGACGAUCAGAUACCGUCGUAGUCUCAACUAUAAACUAUACCAGCUAGGGAUCGGCCAACGUUUAAUUAUUCGACUUGGUCGGCACCUUAUGAGAAAUCAAAGCAUCUGGGUUCCGGGGGGAGUAUGGUCGCAAGGCUGAAACUUAAAGGAAUUGACGGAAGGGCACCACCAGCCGUGGAGUCUGUGGCUUAAUUUGACUCAACACGGGAAAACUUACCAGGUCCGGACAUAGUAAGGAUUGACAGAUUGAUAGCUCUUUCUUGAUUCUGUGGGUGGUGGUGCAUGGCCGUUUUUAGUCGGUGGAUGUGAUCUGUCUGCUUAAUUGCGUUAACGGACGAGACCCCAGCCUGCUAAAUAGCGCGGCCGAGCUUUGCUCGGUGCGAGCUUCUUAGAGGGACCAUGAUGCGCGAUAGCACAAGGAAGUUUGGGGCAACAACAGGUCUGUGAUGCCCUUAGAUGUUCUGGGCCGCACACGGGCUACACUGGCGCCUGCAACGAGCAUAUCAGCUGGCCCGAGAGGGUCUUGGCUAAUCUUUGGAACCGGCGCCGUGCUUGGGAUUGACCAUUGCAAUUGUUGGUCAUGCAACGAGGAAUGCCUUGUAAACGCGAGUCAUCAGCUCGCAUUGAAUACGUCCCUGCCCUUUGUACACACCGCCCGUCGCUCCUACCGAUGAAUGUUCCGAUGAAAUUUUCGGAGAGCACCAGAGAACGGGGCUCUGCCUUGCAGAUCUGGAGGCUCAAAGUCACUUAAAUCUGAACAUUUCGAGGAAGGAGAAGUCGUAACAAGGUAACC
rnacentral:rRNA from 1 species